rnacentral:misc_RNA from 1 species
GAAAAGUAAAAAAAAAUCAAAUGCUUAACUUGCUGAGAUGAUUGAUAGUUCCAAUCACUUGCGAUCACCUCGUAUGUAACAAAUGCAACAGUAUCAAUGUCCUAAGUUCUAACUAGAUAUGCAAUGUGAUUGGUGUGCAAAGCCAACAAAUAACAGCUGAUAUGAAAAUAACAGGACUAGAGAUACACAACAGGAACUGCGGCAAUGGUAGUGCAGUGUACACAGUUGAAAAUAACACAAGUAUCAAGCAUCAGAGAGAUUCCCA